GUCCCGUGGGAGAGGGACUGGGCCCAGCUAGGGAUAGACUGGGGGGCCCUGUGGUGGCACCUGCUGAUAUGGUGGGGGCACCGGAUUGUACUAUGGCGAUGUCGGGCAGUACAGUGGCUGGGGCACUGGUUCAUACUACGACGGUGGUGUCAAGUGGUACUGUGGUGGAGCAAGCUCGUGCCGGGGUGGCUCGGGAUCCACUUGCUGUAGCGGUGGCUCAACCCGUAGUAGUGGGGAGGUUCGGGUAACUCCCUUCUCUCCUCUCGACCUUGCUGAGCGGCCAUGAUCCUUUCCAGCAUCUCAAAUAUUCUGUCCACAUCUUCCCGAAGCGAAUCAUCCCGGGCUCCUCGAUUUAGUGGGGGUCUUCCUCUCCUCAUUUCUUUGCACCUGCAUUUCACAUGGAAGAGUUGAGUAACGAUUUAUCAGUGGGUAUUUCUCUAAGCAUUAUUGUGUAAGGGAUGGGUCU
rnacentral:lncRNA from 1 species